GUAGGUGAACCUGCGGAAGGAUCAUUAACACGUAUCCAACGUUAAAACAACCCCGUGAACCUUCAUUCGUGAACUUGCAGCAUGACUGCAUUAGGCAAGCAGCAAUCCCUGGUAAAUCAUUGUUGACCAGAUAUUGAGUCAGGGACUUCUGCCCAACUUGCUGCAAUCGAUCAUGGGUAAUGGCCCGGCAUCCCAAUCAAUCUGUUGUCUGACAGUGGCAAUUGACCAAUGUGACGGAUGACGCAGUAAACGAUCGCUAGAGGCCCACACGGCCGGCGACCGGGCAACAGGCCUCUGGCCCCUAACGACCCCAAUGUUUCUGACACGGUGCGCAACAAAAACUCGCACCACAAAACUCGAACAACUGUUAACAAUGGAUAUCUUGGUUCUC
rnacentral:misc_RNA from 1 species